GCAGCGAAUGUCCAGGUGCUGAUCGAUGAGGAGCCCAAGCACACUUUGGGCUCAGAAAUAAAGCAGGAAGCCAUGAAGAGCUUUGCCAACAUGAGCACUGUGGAGACAGCACUGGAAGGCCAAACGGAGAGCAUCCUGAAUUCUUGCUUCAACAGUGUCUUCUUUU